rfam:Schistosoma haematobium scaffold5_6, whole genome shotgun sequence.
ACCCAGCUGACGAGUCCUAAAUAGGACGAAACGUGUCAAACUGGAU